GAAAGAAUUGCAUAGUGGUUUGAGCACUGGACUACAACUCUAGAGACCAGGGUUUGAUUCCCUGCUCAGGCA
rnacentral:tRNA from 1 species